AAAUUGAAGAGUUUGAUCAUGGCUCAGAUUGAACGCUGGCGGCAGGCCUAACACAUGCAAGUCGAACGGUAACAGGAAACAGCUUGCUGUUUCGCUGACGAGUGGCGGACGGGUGAGUAAUGUCUGGGAAACUGCCCGAUGGAGGGGGAUAACUACUG
rnacentral:rRNA from 1 species